UACGUUUCAGAUUUGCAAGCAGAAACCCUUGGUUGAUUGGACCCAAACGUAAAACUAAUUUUUAUCUUAUAAUCUGUUUCUGACACAUUUCUCACAUCUGAGAACAUUAGACAGGUUUAGAAAAAACGGGGCGACCUCGAAGAAACGCCAUUGAAACAAAGAAAUUCUUGAGACAAAAAGUAUGAAUGAGUUGUAUCCAUUGUGAUUCUGAACACACAAUUAUACGAUUUUCACCUCUUUCGAGCAAUGUGAAAGCUUGAUGCGACGUUAGAGAUGUUGCAAGAAAUCUGCGUUAUAGCAGAACUUUUUUCCCGAUCGUAUAGCUGUUUGCCAAGACCUAUAGGCGUGUACUAGACAGGUUUUUCUAUUGGCAGGAAAUAUUUAUUGACAUUAUAUAUGGAAAGUACACAUUCGAAAUUGGAAGUACAGCGAUCCAAAUCGGCUGGGUCCCAGCCUUCCCGUGUGAAAAAGAGCUAUAAACCUUAGUCCAGGCUGGCUGUUUGUAAAGUUAUUUUCAAAUAUAACAGGAAUCAAGUUCCUUAGUGCCCAUUUUUAGCUGAAAUGAGACCGCGUUGUGAGGUUGCUGUGUCGUCUUUCUUAAAUCUGUGUGUUAUUAAAGUGUAUCAACAGCUGCUUUUUUUUUAAGUCCACCGGUCAAUGCUGUAACAAUUUUUGACAUUUUUACAUAACUGUGUAUGCCUGCUGACCUCUUCUUGUGUACUUUAUAAUAUAUCGUUGUGUGAUAUGCUGUAGUACGUUAAUCUGCCCCCGUCCCCCAUUCACAUAGUAUAGUACUUUUGCACAUAAACCUGUAUCAUUGUAUUAAGUUAUUAUCAUAGAUAACGCUACAGUAUUGUUAAGUUGCAAUUUAAAUAUGUAGUUUCAAUUGUUUUAAUUGUGUGAAUAAUUUAAUGUAAAUUGAGACAUGCUGUAUACGUAUACGUGAUCUUAGUAGAAAUUGGAUAAUUA